UACGUAGGGUCCGAGCGUUGUCCGGAAUUACUGGGCGUAAAGAGCUCGUAGGUGGUUUGUCGCGUUGUUCGUGAAAACUCACAGCUUAACUGUGGGCGUGCGGGCGAUACGGGCAGACUAGAGUACUGCAGGGGAGACUGGAAUUCCUGGUGUAGCGGUGGAAUGCGCAGAUAUCAGGAGGAACACCGGUGGCGAAGGCGGGGUCUCUGGGCAGUAACUGACGCUGGAGGAGCGAAAGCCGUGGGGAGCGAACAGG
rnacentral:rRNA from 1 species